CCUAUUUCAUCUCUGUCAUACCUAAGUUUCUUUCUACGAUUGAUUAAUUUUUUCCUUGUUAUGGAUUCUGUUUCCCUGUAUGUCUAGUAGUCUUGUUUUGAUCUCAGAAAAUUGUGGAUUUUUACUUUUGGGGGGUAAUAAUUUAGGUUUUUUUUUUUUUUUUUUGUUACCAGAGAUUGAACUCAAGGGCACUAAUCCACUGAACCACAUCCCUAGCCCUUUUUUGUAUUUUAUUUAGAGACAGUGUCUCACUGAGUUGCUUAGGGCCUUGUUAAGUUGGUGAGGCUAGUUAUGAACUCACAAUCCUCCUGAGAUUACAGGGGUGUGCUGCUGUGCUCAGCCUAGAUUAUUUGUAAAAUUCAUUUGUUCUUUUUAGUUAUACAUGAGGUUUUUUCAUUUUUUUAAUUCUGGAUUCUGUUGAAUUCCUUUAAGAAUAUUGCCCUUUGGUCUAAAAUUGAGUUAAGUUAUUUGGAGUCCAUUUGAUCCUUUUGAAGGUUGCUUUCAAGCUUUUUAGGGUAAGAGCAGCUUUUAGGUUAAGGGUAAUAUAGCCCCCCUACUCAGAUAAUCUUCUUGUGAGGAUUCUAUCCUGUGCCUGGUGUUUAUCUGCAUGAUUGUAUGGUGGUUCUCUACUCAGUCUUGGGAGUCUCACUGAAACACAUGAAGAUCAGGAUUCAGCCAAUGAUUUAAAGAGACCCCAGUGAAGAACUCCAGAAAUUUCACCCUGUACACCCCUUUUGUCUAGUAUUCUUCCCCAUGAAUGUCGCCUUCUCAUUCUCCCAACCACAGUCUCUUUUUUCCUCAACACAUGGAGACAGCUUAGUUCUGUUUAGAUUUUACCUUUACUGUAUACUGGAAGUUGUUUCCAAGUAGUAAUAUAGAAUGAAAGCUGACUUCAUUUCUCUUCUCUUGGGGAUCACAGCCCCUGUUUGUUAUAAUAGUUCUUUCACUUGAUGAUCUGUCGUCAUUGUUUUCCCUCUUCUCCUCCUCUUUCGUCCUAGUGUUUAUGGCGGA
rnacentral:lncRNA from 1 species